UCUGACAUGUCGCUCUCUCCCAUUACGUGUCGUGCUCCCAGCGGCAACGAGUAGGAGAAGGCGUGCGGCGGCGGAUGAAAACCUUAAAGGUUGAGAUAAAUGGCAAGAAUCAACAAGGGGAACAAUAUCAAGAGCAAGAAGGUGAGGGAAAAGGAGGUAAUGCCAAGAAGACAAACCAUUAUCAAACCCUGUCAUGCCGCUGUGGAUAGAGAAGAGAAUCUAAAAAGAACCGAGCGCUUCCAUUGUGAAGAAAAGAAUCUUGAGAGAGAAACCAAUGCAAUAGAAUGGUUCCACAUUUGGGCAUCAUCUUCACGUUUGGUUUCAUAGAAUAUAUGAUACUGGAAUUAAAACAUUUGGUUCCUCAAAAGAAAAUAUUCUCCUAUUAUGCCUAACCAUUUCAUUUUCUCAAAAAGUAGUACCGCAAUAGGACUCAGUUGGUUCCAAGUGGAACAAAUGGUUUAAGUGUUUGCAGGGCCGGCCCUGAAAUUUUGGGGCCUUGGGGCGAAACUUAAACCCUCGGGCGUUUAAUAAUAAUAAUAAUAAUAAUAAUAAUAAUAAUAAUAAUAAUAAUAAUAAUAAUAAUAAUAACGAACAUGCGCAUAGAAGAUAUAUUGUCGCUAACACUUAAAGACAUGCAAAAGUAGUAUACGUAUUAAAUAAUUUAAGCAUAUUACCUUAAAAAAACUCUUCUAACAUUCUUCGAAGCAAAAUCAGUUAUGAUGGGAUCGAUGUCGAUCUCAUCCAAUAAUGUAUUCUCGAUGCAUAAUGUUGCCAGACCAUUUAACCUGUCUUGAGACAUUGUUGACCUCAAAUAAUUCUUCAAUAAUUUCAAGUUUGAGGAGAUUCUUUCAGCCGAUGCAACGGUCACAGGCACAACAAGCAACAGGCUGCUGUAGAACCGUAUCUAGGGGGGGGGGGGGGGGGGGCAAGACUGCCGGGGGCCUAGGGCCGGCCCUGAGUGUUUUGGUUCCUAGAUAAAGCUAACAUCGUUUCAUUCAUACAGGUUCCAUUUCAUUCGACCUUACUCUCGAACAACACUGCCUAAGGUACACUGUUUAAUAAACUGUCUUAUCUUAUGUGUUAUAGUAAGUAGAAAAGAUAACGAAACAUGUUAUACAAUAGGUAAUCUCUUAAUGCCAUGUCUACAAUGAGUGUUUAGCUGAAUGAAAUUAAUUAAAUAAAUGUUACGAAAAUGUAAAAUCUAGCACAAUGAAAAUUGGUCUUAUAUUUGUCUUCUUCUUCUUCUUUUUCUUGUGAAAGAGAAGACUCAUGUCUUUCUUCGUCCAUCUCUCUUCAAAUCAGCUAUUAUCUUACAUGACAUCGUUAAAAAAAACUGACGUCAUAACAUUGUACACGCUCUAAGGGACUCGAUCUGGAAGAAACCAGUUGUCAUCCGGUGUUAAAAAAUAUUAUACUCUCUCUGACUGUCGCUAUUUUAAUACAACUUUGUAUUCCGAUCCAGAUUACUUGUCUCAUUUUGGACAAGUAAUAUGGUCCGAGGGAACAGUGUAUUUUAGUCCUCAACUUUUGUUAAAUUCAAAACUCCGGUGAGAAAAAAGAAAAACAAGUCAAAUCGUGAGAUCAUCGUGAGGACAGCAAGGGCACCUUUCGAGCGUGCGGCGCCUAGCUGCGCCACGCCAGUACGGCACGCACGGCAGCUGUACCGCGUGCGGUAUUGCCGAUCCCGGGCGGCCCCGGCCGUAAAGCCGGCGGGCGGGUUACCCGGAAGAAGCAGAAGAAGCAAAAGCUGAUCCCGAGGAGAGGACCUGGAGUCCUGGAGUGGGAGUCUCGACUCUCGAGUCAGGGCGGCGGCGUGCACCAUGUGUCGCGUGGCCAUGUGAGCUGCUGGGCCGGUGCGCCCGGGUAUCUAUGGGCGCGGCUCGCCGCCGUGGUUCCCUGUGCUGCCGCGUGUUCCUUUCCUCGCUGUCGUCUCUGACUCUCUCCUCAGCGGCAAAAACCCAUCGCCAUCUCUCGAGCCAGCAGUGGCACUGGUGCGCCUCUUCCCUC
rnacentral:lncRNA from 1 species